AAGAAUUAAAUGGAUGAAAUAUGAAGUUUUAUUAAAAGAAAAAUGGGUGAAAAGAACAAAGUUUUGUCCAUCUUUGUUCAUCAUAGCUGAAAGUUAGAGAAGAGAAAGGAGAGGAGAAAGCUCUUGAGUAUUCGGUCAUUAGGAGGAGGAAAAUUGAAGGAAAUCCCCAACCAUAGUGGGCUUGGAGCUGUGAGGGAAUUUGGAGUGGCCACCCGUUCUGAAAGUUUGAUUUUCUUCUGGUGAACUGGAUAUCCUUUUAUUUACGUUUGAAGUUUUGGGUUUUUAAAUGUAAUAAGGCCGCUUAAUUAUUUUUGAUGGUUUUAAUAUGUAUUACUAAGAUAGGUAUUACUUAUUUUAACUGUUGAAAUUGGAUAGCUUUAGGGCGCAUUUUCAAAAACAACAAUUGAUUUCAAAAUAACACGACAACAAGCAAAGCUUCCGCAAUGAAAA